CCGGUGGCACGACCUUGGACCUUCUCCACUUGCUGUCGCUAUAAGUCAACCUCGGCGACGUGAUGAGCCACCGCGCCGGCUAACUCCUCGGCGACCGCGGAUACCACCUCCACUUACGCCUGCCGGUCUAGACACGCCGCCUUCCCCGCUGCCUACAUCAGGCUCUUCCCAGCGGCUCUCGCAACCUCGUGAGGUAACCUGUCUAGCUGGGAUCUCGAGGACCCACCUUUUCUUCCCCUUCCGCCCCCAACUCUUGUGUACCGGCACGGCAACACUUACGGGACGAGAGUAGUCCAACAACACCAGGUUCCGGUUACCGAUCAUGUAUCGUCUUGUGAGACUCCUCGUGUUGGCGAACCUGGCCUUCUGUACUAACGGCUUUUACCACUACAGUACUUGGUUUAAGUCUGACUUACCCGUGAACAACAAUGACCCCUGUCUACUUUUUUAUCGGAAGUGUUGCUACUACAAUUAAGUCGUCUACUGAGACCCUUGUCUAACCGUCCUGAUAACUGUGUCCGUUUUUCCUUACUCUACCCGUCCGGAUGCUGGUCGUCUCUCUUUCGCUGAAUGCUACCCAACUCGUUCUCCUGGUCCAAGACGUGGUAAACGACCGUUGUCCCCGUGUUUUCCUGAUGCACGGGUCUGGCGCCUCUACAUGGUUUCGUCCAAUCUUCAGGACGAGCUACGUUCUUGACACCUCAGUUUCCAGUGGUGAGUGGCCGCCUUGUUAACGUUGCUUCGUCGUCUCGAUGCAGACUUUCACUCUGACUUUUUUAUCCCUACAUGGACUCUGUCAUGAACGUACCAAUCCUAUAUACCACAUACGCAUACUGUUAAAGGUCUAUCACGCCUGACUAAACAACAUCGGACACAGAGCACCAUUUCUAAAUUUUAAAGGAAACGUACACAUCUAGCUGUUCACACAGAGUUACAUAAGGAACUUGAAGGACACGCCUUGAACAGA
rnacentral:rRNA from 1 species